CUCAUUGUAAUAACUAGUGGGGUUUCUUUUUAUUAUUAUUAUUUUUUGGCCGGGGGAAAGAGAACAGUCUCUUCCUGUGUUCUGAAGAGCAGAGCGGAUGUCGGGUGAACUGACAAGCCCUGUGAGUAUGUCCGUGGUCAGUAGCUCUUCUACCAUAGCUGGAAGUGCUCUUGGCUUUGGACGCAGUGGUGGAGGUCGAGAGAGCAGUGGAGGAUUCAGCCUGACGGGCGGCACUGGAGGAGGAGGAGGAGGAGGAGGAAGAAGAGCUGGUGGCAGCAGCAGCAGCAGUCUGAGUCUUGGAGUGGGUGGUGGAGACACUGGUGGUUCUGGAGGUGCUGGUGGUUUUGGUCUGAGUAGUGGGAUCAUGACUGGUGGAAGUCACUAUAGUUCUGGAGGGUUUGCAGGGGGACUGGGUGUUGGAGGAGGAGGAGGAGGAGGAGCAGGCAGGAGCUCCUCAAGCACAAAAUAUGUCUCGACAUCCGUCUCAUCAAGCAGGAAAGUGGUCAGCUAAGAAAGGAAAUACACUCAAUCAGGCUCAGCCAAUUUUUGGAAAAGCUCAGUUCUAAUUGCCAGCAGCAACCUCCAACUGCCAAGUGAAUUGUGUUUCUUAUUCCUGAGAAGUUAUUUGAUGACGGAAAUCAUACCCCAAUGCCAAAUGAUAGCAUGAGGGCGUAAGGUGACUAUUUACGAGAACUGUAUACCAGCCUUUCUGGCAUCCUCCCAAUGUAUUGGAUAAUAACUCCCAUCAUCACUAUUUAUGGGAUUAUGGACACUGGGGAUAGUAACACUUGUAGUCCAUCACAUUAGGAGGAUGUCCACUUGAUAUACUACUUGAUCACUCCCAAACCGUAGCAAGCAGCUUCUGUGUUGAAGUCCAUCCUUCACUAUGCUCAGUGUAAUGUACCUUAAUGCCCCACUGAUUUCAAUAGGAAAUUUAAGCCCAAAUUUCAGCCACAUCUGCUGAAGUCAGCAAGAUUGAGAAAAAAACUAAUCCUUUCUGUAUCUCUGCUCUGUUCUUCUGGAGCACUCAGAAGGGUGAGGGGAUGUAGUGUUUUCCAUCUUCCUCCUAGAUGAUAUUUGAAAAUGCAAUUUGUGCACAAGGUGUGGAAAGAACUUGCUCCAAUAGGCAUUCAGAAUCCUGAACAGGCAUAGAGGAGAGGGCGUUUUGAUGCUCUUUGAAUGAAAUCAAAUUACAUCUGACAUCAUGGAAGUCAGUACAUCAAGUUCUUCAACAGAAGGCUCAAGAUUUAGAAGAGUGUUCUUACCUGUUGGCUUUUUUUGUGGUUCUCUUAUGAUCUCCUCCGGCAAUCAGAACAAUAAUUGUGUCAACUCAGAGCUAAUUUAUAUGCGACUUUGCAAUAAAAAGGAAAAGCAAAGCA
rnacentral:lncRNA from 1 species